rnacentral:rRNA from 1 species
AGAGUUUGAUCAUGGCUCAGGACGAACGCUGGCGGCGCGCCUAACACAUGCAAGUCGAACGGAGUUAUUUUCUUCACUCCGAGCUUUUUGCCAGUUAGCCGGAGCGGCAAUCGGUUUUGCCCAGCAUAAAAAGCAAAACCGAUUUAGGCUCAUAAAGUAAGACUAACACAGAGGGCAGAGAGUUGGGAGUGAAGAAAAUAACUUAGUGGCGAACGGGUGAGUAACGCGUGAGUAACCUGCCCUGGAGUGGGGGACAACAGUUGGAAACGACUGCUAAUACCGCAUAAGCCCACGAUCCGGCAUCGGAUUGAGGGAAAAGGAUUUAUUCGCUUCAGGAUGGACUCGCGUCCAAUUAGCUGGUUGGUGAGGUAACGGCCCACCAAGGCGACGAUUGGUAGCCGGACUGAGAGGUUGAACGGCCACAUUGGGACUGAGACACGGCCCAGACUCCUACGGGAGGCAGCAGUGGGGGAUAUUGCACAAUGGGGGAAACCCUGAUGCAGCGACGCCGCGUGGAGGAAGAAGGUUUUCGGAUUGUACACUCCUGUCGUUAGGGACGAUAAUGACGGUACCUAACAAGAAAGCACCGGCUAACUACGUGCCAGCAGCCGCGGUAAAACGUAGGGUGCAAGCGUUGUCCGGAAUUACUGGGUGUAAAGGGAGCGCAGGCGGACCGGCAAGUUGGAAGUGAAAACUAUGGGCUCAACCCAUAAAUUGCUUUCAAAACUGCUGGCCUUGAGUAGUGCAGAGGUAGGUGGAAUUCCCGGUGUAGCGGUGGAAUGCGUAGAUAUCGGGAGGAACACCAGUGGCGAAGGCGACCUACUGGGCACCAACUGACGCUGAGGCUCGAAAGCAUGGGUAGCAAACAGGAUUAGAUACCCUGGUAGUCCAUGCCGUAAACGAUGAUUACUAGGUGUUGGAGGAUUGCACCCCUUCAGUGCCGCAGUU